rnacentral:lncRNA from 1 species
CACAGCGCUGCCAUGCAGCAGCGUUCCUAUUUGCUUUUCCUUCUGUAAAUAUUUGUGCUUUCUCAGGCUAAGGAGUGGCCUGUGCUAGAGACUAAAAUAUUCCCAUUUAUAAAUCCUCCAGGUGCAGCAGGGAAAGCCUGACCCCUCACCCUGCCCCUGCAGUGACCUCAACCUCACCCAUGUGGACCACCCUCUAGGCUGCCCCCGACGCAGGCCCAUGAUCACCUCUCCAGGUUGACUGCUGACUAGCAGGAGAAGAUGAACCUGAAAUUGAAUGGUUAUUGCAGUCCAGUUUUUUCAGUCCAAAGUGGCUGUCUUUGUACGAGAAGGCUAGCAUCCAUUCUCAGCUAACCGGAAGCUGAUAUGCUGGACGUGGCCAGGCUUGAAUGCUCUGCGCACAUGCCUCCUGAAGAGAAUGAAAUGUACGCUGGACGUUCCCCAGAUGAGAUUGCCGUCCGUGUCCAGCACCAGGCAAAUUCUCCUCAUUCCUUUCACUUAGUCCUGGCCUCACGAUCCAGCAUUUUUAUAGGAGUUUUAAGUCCUGUACUGCCGCAACAUCUGGAGACAAAGGGGAAUAAUUGCUGGCUAGUAGACGACCAAUAG